rnacentral:rRNA from 1 species
UGUCUUUUUGAAAAUAAUAUAAAGUCUAAUCUGCCCACUGAUUNAAUAAUUGAAGGGCUGCAGUAUAUUGACUGUACAAAGGUAGCAUAAUCAUUAGUCAUUUAAUUGAUGACUUGUAUGAAGGAUUGGAUGAAAUAUAGACUGUCUCUUAAUUAAACAUAGAAUUUAAUUUUUUAAUUAAAAAGUUAAAAUAAUUUAAAAAGACGAGAAGACCCUAUAGAGUUUUAUAAAUAAAUUAAUUGAGAUUAUUUAUUAAAUAAAAAUUAAAAUUAAGUUGUUUAUUAUGUUGGGGUGAUAGAAAAAUGUAAUUAACUUUUUUUAUAUAUGAAAACAUUUAUAAGUGAUUAUAUGAUCCAAUAUUAUUGAUUAUAAGAAAAAAUUACCUUAGGGAUAACAGCGUAAUUUUUUUUUUUAGUUCAUAUAAGAAAAAGAGUUUGCGACCUCGAUGUUGGAUUAAGAUAAAAUUUAAAUGCAGAAG